rnacentral:rRNA from 1 species
UUUCCGUAGGUGAACCUGCGGAAGGAUCAUUAAUGAAUUCACUAUGGAGUUGUUGCUGGCCUCUAGGGGCAUGUGCACGCUUCACUAGUCUUUCAACCACCUGUGAACUUUUGAUAGAUCUGUGAAGUCGUCUUUCAAGUCGUCAGACUUGGUUUGCCGGGAUUUAAACGUCUCGGUGUGACUACGCAGUCUAUUUACUUACACACCCCAAAUGUAUGUCUACGAAUGUCAUUUAAUGGGCCUUGUGCCUUUAAACCAUAAUACAACUUUCAACAACGGAUCUCUUGGCUCUCGCAUCGAUGAAGAACGCAGCGAAAUGCGAUAAGUAAUGUGAAUUGCAGAAUUCAGUGAAUCAUCGAACCUUUGAACGCACCUUGCGCCCCUUGGUAUUCCGAGGGGCAUGCCUGUUUGAGUGUCAUUAAAUUCUCAAACUCACUUUGGUUUUUUCCAAUUGUGAUGUUUGGAUUGUUGGGGGCUGCUGGCCUUGACAGGUCGGCUCCUCUUAAAUGCAUUAGCAGGACUUCUCAUUGCCUCUGCGCAUGAUGUGAUAAUUAUCACUCAUCAAUAGCACGCAUGAAUAGAGUCCAGCUCUCUAAUCGUCCGCAAGGACAAUUUGACAAUUUGACCUCAAAUCAGGUAGGACUACCCGCUGAACUUAA